GAUGAAGAACGCAGCGAAAUGCGAUAAGUAAUGUGAAUUGCAGAAUUCAGUGAAUCAUCGAAUCUUUGAACGCACAUUGCGCCCUCUGGUAUUCCGGAGGGCAUGCCUGUCCGAGCGUCAUUGCUGCCCUCAAGCACGGCUUGUGUGUUGGGCCCCGCCCCCCGAUCCCGGGGGGCGGGCCCGAAAGGCAGCGGCGGCACCGCGUCCGGUCCUCGAGCGUAUGGGGCUUUGUCACCCGCUCUGUAGGCCCGGCCGGCGCCUGCCGAUCAACCAAACUUUUUUCCAGGUUGACCUCGGAUCAGGUAGGGAUACCCGCUGAACUUAAGCAUAUCAAUAAGCGGAGGA
rnacentral:misc_RNA from 1 species